rnacentral:lncRNA from 1 species
UCUUUCUCUAGUUCCCUCCCUCCUGCUCCAAUCUUCAGUUCAGCUAGAGAAAGAGAGGGAGUGAGAGAGGGAAAGAAAGAAAAAGAAAGAAAGAGUGAGCGGAAUAAUAGUGAGCGACGAGGGGAAUUUCAGUGCUUGGAAACUUUUCUUUCCACUGAAACAGAGAAAAGAUCACAGGCGCUAGCGGGCCUCUUGCGCUAACUGGUGUCAGCUGUUGCAGGAAAUGAAGGGAUCACUUCUAUCCCAGUCUUUCUCUCCCGCUCUCUCUCUCUCUCUCUCUCUCUCUCUGAGCCUGAUUUUUCAUGUGAUUCGUAUCCUGCUAAACACAGCAGAGAGAAUGGGCCGCUCUGACAGAGAGAUGAAUGGGACUCAGAUGAUGAGGGUGAGAUACAGCCGUUUCACAGCUAUUCAUUUUCGAUGCUUUUUGACUCCGUAGAUCUGAUGUUCUGCCUUUUUUUCUGCCUCGGGAUGGAAUACGCACCCGUCGCACAUGUGACACAGGGCGUGUGGAGGACUGCAGCACCCGAGGCAUGGUCAGUCGCUGCCGCCAGCUCGGUGAGUUCACUCCCCGUCUCUCAGUGCGUGUGUGUGAUUUAUACAAGAGUGACAGUAUUGCUCUGUUCUCGUGGUUCUAUCGUGUCUUUUUCGUCCGUUUUAUACUCUAAAACCUUAUUGCGGAUAUGCGAAUGUCUCUUCCACAGCAG